rnacentral:sRNA from 1 species
CUUGGUCAUUUAGAGGAAGUAAAAGUCGUAACAAGGUUUCCGUAGGUGAACCUGCGGAAGGAUCAUUAUGAAUUAAUAAUAUUUGUGAAUUUACCACAGCAAACAAAAAUCAUACAAUCAAAACAAAAAUAAUUAAAACUUUUAACAAUGGAUCUCUUGGUUCUCGUAUCGAUGAAGAACGCAGCGAAACGCGAUAUUUCUUGUGAAUUGCAGAAGUGAAUCAUCAGUUUUUGAACGCACAUUGCACUUUGGGGUAUCCCCCAAAGUAUACUUGUUUGAGCGUUGUUUCUCUCUUGGAAUUGCUUUGCUCUUCUAAAAUUUCGAAUCAAAUUCGUUUGAAAAACAACACUAUUCAACCUCAGAUCAAGUAGGAUUACCCGCUGAACUUAAGCAUAUCAAUAAGCGGAGGAAAAGAAACCAACAGGGAUUGCCUUAGUAACGGCGAGUGAAGCGGCAAAAGCUCAAAUUUGAAAUCGGCCACCAGGUCGAGUUGUAAUUUGUAGAUUGUAUCUUGAGAGCGGAUUAAAGUCUGUUGGAACACAGCGCCUUAGAGGGUGACAGCCCCGUAAAAUCUAUUCUCAUUGUAAGAUACUUUCGAAGAGUCGAGUUGUUUGGGAAU